AUCAAACAUCAUUUUACCCGUCGUAUAAUACCGGAGAUAGGGUCCGGAAGUUUCUACCGAGCCGCCGUAAAUGGCUCGACUACGAUCGGGGACGUGCUUAUU
rnacentral:ncRNA from 2 species